GAAUCCUGGCUCAGAUUGAACGCUGGCGGCAGGCUUAACACAUGCAAGUCGAACGGUAACAUAAAGAAGCUUGCUUUUUUGAUGACGAGUGGCGGACGGGUGAGUAAUGCUUGGGAAUCUAGCUUAUGGAGGGGGGAUAACUACGGGAAACUGUAGCUAAUACCGCGUAAUAUCGAAAGAUUAAAGUGUGGGACCUUCGGGCCACAUGCCAUAGGAUGAGCCCAAGUGGGAUUAGGUAGUUGGUGAGGUAAAGG
rnacentral:rRNA from 1 species